UUCCUGUUCACGGGCAUUGGCCACUGACCCUCAUCCUGGUUGUUCUGUUCUGCAUUGUGUAUUAUUGUAAUCAUUUGAAGUUUGAUGGAAUAACCAUUUUAACUACACUCGCUGUCUGCCAUCUGCCCGGUACAGUUUAAACCGGGAUUCAUCAGUGAAGAGCACACUUCUCCAGCAUGCCUGGGGCCAUCGAAGGUGUGCAUUUUCACACUGAAGUUGGUUACAAUGCCGAACUUCAGUCAGGUCAAGACCCUGAAGACGGUUUCUGUCAGUUUGUGCAUAAAUUCCUUGGUUGUGCAAACCCACAGUUUCAUCAGCUGUCCGGGUGGCUGGUCUCAGACGAUCCUGCUGGUGAAUAAGCCAGAGAAAACACUGAGAGAGAAAGUCAGGAAGUGGAAAUGCUUAAGGAACUGAAAGACUAUGUGCCUGGAAAUCUUAAGUGAAGACUAUCAGAAUCCUCCUCCACGAACCAGCUGGAGUGGGAAAAUCCAGCUUCAUCAACUCCAUCAAUUGUGUGUUUCAGGGUCACAUUACGAGUAUCACCUUGGCCAACUUCACUGCUGCAGGUGAAAGCAUUGCCAGAAAAUACGAAACCCACAAAAUCUAAAAAAGAAAAACAUGGAAUCUAUUUCCCAUUGGUGUUCAAUGAUGUCAUGGGUCUGGAGAAAAGUGUCAAAGGUGUGCGUAAGGCUGACAUCAUCAAGGCCCUAAAGAGUCAUAUAAAAGAUGGCCACAAGUUUAAUCCAAUAUCACCAUUAUCAGAAGAGGAUCCUGGCUACAUAAAUACCCACAGUUCGGAGGACAGAGUUCACUGACUGGUCAGUGUCAUACCAGCUGAUAAAAUGGCUGUCUUGAUUGGUGUCAUCCAGAAGAUGAGGAACAUCGGAGUAGGAGCCGCUGAUAUGGGUGUACUAUGUCUUUGAGUAGGAGCGUCAUCACAUUGCCUGGAGAGAAAAAGGACUGCUGGAUUAAAUCAGUUUGCUCUGGCAGGGAUUCCCCAAAUGGUUAUUCUCAUUAGAGUGAAUGACGCCUGUCCAUUGGUGAAGAAAGACCUGAAAAACAUCUAUCUGAGCAAGUACAUAAAGGAGAAGUACAAAAACCAUCCGAUUGUAUUAUGAAAGACUGUUCGAUUUGUUAACCAUCAAUGGGUGGCUAGCCAGUGUUCCUAAUACAUAUUCCAUGGUAGUUACAUACACAGCUACAGCUCAUUCAAUUGAAUUCCAACGUUAUUCUUUCAUUGCAGAUGGAGCAGCGCAGUACUAAACUGGGAGUACCAGUAAACUGCAUCCAGCCUGUGAAGAACUACCAUGAGGAAAUAAACUUGGAUGAAGACAUGAAUGUGCUGCUAUUGAGGGUUCGGCUCAAUUUGGCAGAUUACUUCAUCAGAAAGCCCCCACAAGAUAUCAAGUGUUGUGUUCAAGACCACCUAAAGGGAGACUGAUUCAAGAUCGAGACCGGAGCAAAUCCAGUCAGAGUCGAGACCAAGACUGGAGGGUGGAAGAGACAGAGACAAGGCCGAAUCUAGGAAAAUGCGAGUCCAAUUCAAAAGACCAUGGUUGCCACUAGGGCUGUACCAAGUACUCGGACAAAACGAGUAUUGUAAUGGAUAUGGAGAAUUUUCAGAAUAUGACUAUGACACAAGUCUUUUUUUAAAUUAUCUGUAAUCUGAUUAUCUGUCAUUUUUGCUGCCAGCACACGUCUCUCUUUCACUCAAAGUGUGAAGCUCUGUGUUCUCGAAACAACUAUGGGCUAGUUCUUCUGUCUUAAUUGGAACAGUAUAUGGGGCAAGUGAAUUAGCCUACCUUCAUCUAAAUCUGUCUGGGUUAAAUGCAGGCAGUAGUAACCAGCCAUGCAUUAGGCUAUUUAUGAACCUUUUCCGUUGAUAAUCGAAUAGGAUUAAGUAAGUAAAUCAUGUGCAUUUUGAUCUGUCGGGGUCAUUUACCUUUGAACAAUGUGUGUGAAUGAGUGAAUGAACAUAAUGAUGCUCUCUGAGGAGCGCUUUGAGUGAUAGCGCAGUAAUUCACACUUGAGGUAUAGGCUUUACCGGCAUUUAAAGCGCACUCCAGGGUUUCUGAUCAAGAGCAAUCAAGAGUAAAUCCGAUUAUGUCGGCACACCCCACGUUGUCACCAUAAUAAGAGUUCAAAAUGGCCACUGUGUUCAUACAGUAUUUCACAAGAACAUAUGAAUUCUUUAGACAUUCAGAAUGGUGACAAAUGCAUGCUGAGGGCAAAUAGAGAGCCACUCUACAAAUGAUCACUAACUCAAACAGGUCUAUAACAGAUAAAAGUAUAAAAUACAUUCUCCCCUGACUAAUAGUGAGCGAGCAACUUUCAAACAAUGAUCCCCACUUUUCCCUAUCAGCAAAUCAAGGAAAUGAUGAGGAGCACUACAAAGUUUUAGGAUAUUUUUCAAUGAAAGUAAAGGACAGUAAUGUUAAGAGUAAAGUAGGAAGACCAGAAAAUAGUCCAUAAGAUAUUAAUGUGUCAUGAAAGGAGUGUGGCUAUUUGCGCUGGCAAAGCGGUUUUAUGGGAUCUGAUAAUUAUGAGUUUUUCACUCCCCUGGUAUUGGUUGGUUGUCGGCAAGAAAUGACUAGUAAAAAUGUAUCUGACACCAAGACAAGACCGAGACACUCCUAGGCCAGACUUGAGUAGGCUACUACAACACUGAAGAUAACUGAGGGAUGCAUACAUUAUCCAGAGUCACUAGCCUACACUGAAUCAUAAUACAAGUGGGUCUGUCAUACAGCCACAUAAAACCCCACAGAAUAGUGAAGGCUACUUCUUCCUGUCAUUUCUUUCACAUUGUUUGCUUAUAACUGAUGAUCCCUCUUGAGUAGGACAAUUUUGCCACUUGUUUUUUCUGUUGGUUUGUUUUUGUCUGUUGUUUAGGUCUUUGGGUUUGUGAGAUAGUGGGUUACAAAUACAAUGUAUAAUUUAUUGAAGAAAUAUGUAAUUUAUUGCAUAUAUUAUUUGUAUAUUUUAUUUAUUUAUUAUUUCGCUACUUUAUUGAGGAAAACUUUACUUACCAUGAUUGAUAGCUAUCUUAAGAUCAAUGCACUAACUGUAAAUCGCUCUGGAUAAGAGCUUCUGCUAAAUAACUAAAAUGUAAUCGUUAUUAGAGCAGGAUCUUAAAGUGUUUUGAGGACAAUGGAAUUUAAAUAAAGAUGCCUUUAUUAACAGUA